CUGCACUAAAACUGGAACAAUACAGAGAAGAUUAGCACGGCCCUCGUGCAAGAAUGACACACAAAAUUGUGAAGCGUUCCAUAUUUUA